CGGUUUUCGGCUUCUGUUAGCAGGAGACUAGUCUGUUAUGGUGAAGCAGGGAGGGGUUCUUCGGCCCAGAAGCUCAUGUUCCAAUGGGGGAGACCAACAUGCAAACCACAGUAAAUGGGAAGUGAUCUCAGGAAGAAAGCACUGGUGGCAGAAAAUGGAAAGGGACAUGAAAGGUCAAUAGUAAAAGGGUGCCUUGCUGAUGAAUUUAAGAAAGUUGGUUAACUUUAAGCAAAAUCACAGCCUCAGGAAGGUUCACAUUUCAGUAAGUUUACACAUUUAUAACAAAAGAUCUGGACUAAAUGACCUCCAAGACUCCUUCUAGUUCUAAACCUCUUUCCAAUGACCCUAUGAAAUAAUGUAUAUUCUAAUAAAAAGUAAAAUAGUGCUUAUGAGAUUUGAAGACUGGAAAUUUGAUGACUUGAC